rnacentral:rRNA from 1 species
ACUCCAAUACCAUUCCGAACUUGGUUGUUAAAUGCUGUAGCGACAAUGAUACUUAAGAGGACACUCUUUGGGAAAGUAGUUCAAUGUCAGGGUUUCUUGAAUAUGAUUUAUUAUAAUUAUCAA